rnacentral:lncRNA from 1 species
UGGUAACAGAAAAGUGAGGAUGAUCUAACCCUACCUCACAGCCUAAAAAAAGAAUGCUAUGACUUGUUUCUGUGAGGUCCCCAAGUGGCAAGGAGAGAGUGCUCCAUGGGGAGCUAACACCUGACAUUUUGCACAGAAAGGUGUCUCCUAGAAUUACCUCACACUCUGCAUAGAUAUAGAGAUUACUGUCAUCUUCAGUGAGUUUGAGAGGGGCCUAUAAAUAGGAUCAGGUGAGGUCUGAAUAAGCAAUGAUGUGUGUCUGAUCUUCUGAUCCAGAAUGAAAUGAAAACAUAAUUAGUUAACACGGAAUGUGCUUUUAAAAUGCAGAUAUGUAAUCCUUAUCUUACUUUUGUAUGUCUCUCAUUUUUACCUUUGUUUACUGCAAAUGAUAUGUGAGGUAGCAUCCUGCCCUAUUAAGUAUGCAGAUAUGGAGAACAUUCAGUAAGAUAGCUUUUCAUUAUUUAUUUAGGCAGAACAUACAGUACUUGAAAUCUGUGGGUUGCCAUGAGGUUCCCAUGGCAACUCUUCUAUGGAUAAGAAUGCUUGACUAGGCUGGUAGACUUGCUGUUACCAUCACCAGCCAUACCAUCAUUUGAGGAUACAGUACUCUCCCCUCAUCUGUGCUGUCACUUUUCGUGGUUUCAGUUACCUUCAGUCAACCAUGGUCUGAAAAUAGGUUGGUUCAUUAACGGAAAUAUUAACAGCAACUUAUAUGUACUUCUCCACUUGUUGCUCCAAGAGAUUUACAGCCUCUUUUUCUGUCUUCAGAUACUACUUUGAAAACAAGAUGAAAGCCAUGGAAUCUCCCGAGAAAAAUGUACAUCUUACAGACUUUCAGUGAGUUCUGGAAUACCAGGAACCAGAGCCCACACUAAUGAACAGCAGUUUCCUAACCUAAUGCGAGAGAUUUGAGAUUUCUUCUGGCUCCCAUGAUCUUCUAAUUGUCUUCUUAGCAAGACUAAACACAUCUCCAAGAAAUGUGCACUGCCAUGAAUGUCUUCCAGCUAUCUUCUAUGACAGCACUUCCCAGUGUGUUCUGUGGAAUAAUGGUACAGGGUGAUAUUCUAUGAAGAAAAAUACGGAAAGUAAUAUACUCCACAGUCCGUAUAUUAGAUCGGACUAAUAAAAAUAAAUAUGGAAAGUAAUAUAUUCCACAGUCAUAUAUUAGAUCGCCUACACAACAGCAAUUUGAUAUAGUUUAAUAGGAUUUGAAUGAAUAAAAUUAAUGCCCACAGCUACUUUCUUCUGCCGGUAAAUAUUUUUCUGCCCAUAAUCUUGCUAAACAGAAUUCAUCUGAACUUACGUUGUUGCCAACAAAUAUACGAACAAUUAUACCUAAUCAAAAACAAAAACCAAACUGAUGUUAAAGAAAAUUAAUCAUUUGCUUUGAAUAAAUCAACUAUUAAGAAAGCUUAUAUAAUUGAGCCUAACAGUGCCAAAUCAUGUCUGAGAUGAAAUGCUGCAUGAUACAUAAUCAAACAGACAUUUGCAAGAGCUGUGGGUUGGGGGAGAGUGCAAAUGUUUCCCAGCACUCCUGUAUGUCAUGGGAGCACACAAUAAAACACUUGAAAAGCUGCAAUAAUAAAAGGUUUAAAGAGCUGCAAUAAUAGGUUUUGCACACUGUAGUGGCUACUGACACUGAGAACAUUUUAGAAGUUCAUCUCUAUCAUCCAAACACUACACACCACCAUAUCUAUCUAUUACGUUUUAAUAGGAAUUCUAUACUAAUAUUUUAUCCCUUUGCAUCUGCUCUAUUUUACUAUUUGGGUCAUAUCUCUUGUUAGAAACAAUGUUUGGCCCAUCUAUCCUCAAUAUAAAUAAAAAGCUUUUACCACAUAAACAAGGUCAGUUUGUUCUGUUUGAAAGAUGGAGUAAUGGAACUAACUGUAAGAUAUGCAAUGUAAAAUUUAUUCCCAUUUCACCUUUAUAUGAGUAGAAAUGAAAGGGUACUCAACUAAAAUAUGCGUAACAAUUAGGCUUUCUGUACUAGCCUUCAAAUAAAU